GCCCUCUGCACUCUGCAGUUUUACAUUCUGCGCAGCACGGCAGUUUCACAUUCUGCGCAGCACUCUGCAGUUCUAUACCUCUAUGUUCUACUGCCUUACUUCAGUAGUACUUAGCUUCAUCUCUGCCAACCAGUUUCCAUCAGCCCAGCAGUAGCAUAUCUAGUGCCUAGUAUUGACUUGACCUCUAUCUGUUGACAUGUUCAGAGUUUCAUGCUGCCGGUGGACGAAGAGGUGCUAAUGUUGAGGUCUUAUUCCCCGGGUCCAAUGUGGUUGGCAGUGGCAGUGCAACUGCAAGUGAUUAUGUUCCUCCCGUGACCUCAAAUGUUGAUAGCACAGGCCCUGCUUCGGCAUUAUCAGCUGCUGCAGACUCAAAAAGCCUUGCUGAAAAGGCUAUUGCAGCACUCCCUCCUGAGCUUAGUGCACAAGCAACUGACCCAAAAAGAAAGGCAAGGUCACAGGACCCAGGAUGGAAGUUUGGGUGGUGGCCAGACACAACGAAGAAGGAUUUUGUUCAGUGUAUUUUCUGUUCGAAGAUUGUUCCUUCCGGAAUCAAAAGGUUCAAGCAGCAUCUUGCCGGUGGGUUUGGUGACACCAUGAAGUGUGCUAGAGUACCAGAACUGGUUUCAAAGGAAAUGCACAUGUAUUUAAAAAGGAACAUGAGACUUGUGAUUACUGCUAAUACUGAAGAAGGUGAAGAGGGAGAAGAGCGGGAUGAUGAAGGUCCUGAACCAAGUUCUGGGACAAAAAACAAGCAAACAAAAAAGAAAAUUGCCCAAGCUGCCAUGUCCUCAUUUCUUGUAUCUGCUCCUCCAAAACCAAGUACCCAGAAGGCAAGCAAAUCAGUGAGUGCCAUGCUCUGCAAGACUCCAGAAGAAGUAGUUGCAGAGAGGCAUAAAAACAAAACUUCUCAGUCCACCCUUGAGCACUGCACAAAGAAAGGGACACAAGCACAGCAAAUUGUUGACGACCAUGUAGCUGAUUUUCUGUAUGAGAACAAGAUUCCAUUGAAUGUCGUAAACUCAAGAAGUUGGAAGAUUAUGUUGGAGUCUAUUGGUCAGUACGGUCCUGGAUAUCAUGGCCCAUCGUAUCAUGAGGCUAGAGUACCUUGGCUUGAAAGGGCAGUGAAGAGAACAUCGACAUUGAGAGAUAAGCACGAAGAGGCUUGGAAGGAAUAUGGUUGCUCAAUUAUGUCAGAUGGGUGGACCGACACAAGACAACGUCAUUUGAUCAACUUCCUUGCCAACAGUCCAGCAGGGACAUACUUCCUAGGUUCUGUUGAUGCAUCAAGUGAGGUAGCAAAUGCCAAUAUGUUGGCAGAUCUGUUGGAGAAGCAAAUAAUGAAGGUGGGCAAAGAACAUGUUGUCCAGGUGGUAACUGACAAUGGAGCCAAUUUCAAAGCAGCAGGGCGGAUCCUAAUGGACAGAAU
rnacentral:misc_RNA from 1 species